rnacentral:rRNA from 1 species
ACACAUGCAAGUCGAACGGCAGCGGGGGUAGCUUGCUACCUGCCGGCAAGUGGCGAACGGGUGAGUAAUACAUCGGAACGUGCCCUGUAGUGGGGGAUAACUAGUCGAAAGACUAGCUAAUACCGCAUACGACCUGAGGGUGAAAGUGGGGGACCGCAAGGCCUCAUGCUAUAGGAGCGGCCGAUGUCUGAUUAGCUAGUUGGUGGGGUAAAGGCCCACCAAGGCGACGAUCAGUAGCUGGUCUGAGAGGACGAUCAGCCACACUGGGACUGAGACACGGCCCAGGCUCCUACGGGAGGCAGCAGUGGGGAAUUUUGGACAAUGGGGGCAACCCUGAUCCAGCAAUGCCGCGUGUGUGAAGAAGGCCUUCGGGUUGUAAAGCACUUUUGUCCGGAAAGAAAUCGCACUGGUUAAUACCUGGUGUGGAUGACGGUACCGGAAGAAUAAGGACCGGCUAACUACGUGCCAGCAGCCGCGGUAAUACGUAGGGUCCAAGCGUUAAUCGGAAUUACUGGGCGUAAAGCGUGCGCAGGCGGUUGUGCAAGACCGAUGUGAAAUCCCCGGGCUUAACCUGGGAAUUGCAUUGGUGACUGCACGGCUAGAGUGUGUCAGAGGGAGGUAGAAUUCCACGUGUAGCAGUGAAAUGCGUAGAGAUGUGGAGGAAUACCGAUGGCGAAGGCAGCCUCCUGGGAUAACACUGACGCUCAUGCACGAAAGCGUGGGGAGCAAACAGGAUUAGAUACCCUGGUAGUCCACGCCCUAAACGAUGUCAACUAGUUGUUGGGGAUUCAUUUCCUUAGUAACGUAGCUAACGCGUGAAGUUGACCGCCUGGGGAGUACGGUCGCAAGAUUAAAACUCAAAGGAAUUGACGGGGACCCGCACAAGCGGUGGAUGAUGUGGAUUAAUUCGAUGCAACGCGAAAAACCUUACCUACCCUUGACAUGCCACUAACGAAGCAGAGAUGCAUUAGGUGCUCGAAAGAGAAAGUGGACACAGGUGCUGCAUGGCUGUCGUCAGCUCGUGUCGUGAGAUGUUGGGUUAAGUCCCGCAACGAGCGCAACCCUUGUCUCUAGUUGCUACGAAAGGGCACUCUAGAGAGACUGCCGGUGACAAACCGGAGGAAGGUGGGGAUGACGUCAAGUCCUCAUGGCCCUUAUGGGUAGGGCUUCACACGUCAUACAAUGGUGCAUACAGAGGGUUGCCAAGCCGCGAGGUGGAGCUAAUCCCAGAAAAUGCAUCGUAGUCCGGAUCGUAGUCUGCAACUCGACUACGUGAAGCUGGAAUCGCUAGUAAUCGCGGAUCAGCAUGCCGCGGUGAAUACGUUCCCGGGUCUUGUACACACCGCCCGUCAC